GUUGCACUACUUUUUAUUAAUUUUGUACGCUCUUCUGAAUGCUAUCCAUUGAUGUAGUUUGAACUGAAGAGUCAGUUUGCUUACAUUUGUAUAUUGAUAUCUUCCUUGCCAAUUGCCAUGCUUAUAGCUGGUUGGUAUGAAUCGAUCCUGAAUCUACCAAACAACAAGUUGUGACUUUUUCUUAGCUCUCUGCAGCUGUUCCUUCGAUGUCUGACUACACAGGGAGUUGCAUUAGCAAUGAUUUCUACUUACCGUUUCAUUCAAUCUUUAAUCUACCUUCAUGUUGUAAAGUAUCUCUGCAAUCAUAGUGCUCUCAUUGGACUACAAUCCCUUGCCUUGCAAGAAAUGUCUGCGUCUUCCACAUGGGCUCAUUUAAGAUUUGCCAUGUGAUUUUAAUAAAUUGGUUCCCUUUUAUGUGGGGAGAUCUGGUAGUAAGUUGAAUCUUAAUGUACCCACGCAGCUCUAUAAAUUAAAUUAUAUGCUUACGGGAGUUAUCUUGCAUCAGGCAUUACAAGAAGCCCUUGUUAUGAUGGCACAAAGGAUGCUUUACUUUAUCUCUUGCGCCCAUCUUUUGUCUGAUUUCAUUUGCAUGAUGAUAUAAAUGCAGGUUCAUGGAGUGAAUCUGGCAGGCCCACUAGCAGGAUAUGACAGUCAUAUGUAAGGUGAGAGUUUAAAGGUUGAAUAUUCCAUACUGGGUUAUUUUUGGGUAUGCGCUUUCCAUUCAUAGUUUUGAGUUUGAAAUUUGUUGAGGAUUUAAAUUGUGAAUGGAUAGCUCAACUAAAGUAUGCGAAACCCCAUUCAGUUUGAGGCAAUAAAUAAGCUCUCAUUUCAGCAAAUUUGCUUGCCUUGGUAUGUUAAUGCCUCUAGAUUUUAAUCAGCUUGUUCUUGAGCUGUAAUUUUAGAAACUAUUUUUUUUUUUUGCAUUUUUGUUUUUAUAUCCUAGAACCAUUGAAGCCAUAAGUGUCUUGACAUAUAUUUUGGCCAUAUGUAAAAUUCCUCCAAGCUUCUAGAAUACUAUAUUUCUUUUUAGCUUGGAAUAGGUUCAAAUCAUGUACCUAUUGCUAUGUCUUUGCACUAAUAGCUGCUAUCGUCGGUGCUAUAUUUGACCGUCUUUGUAUGUUUGAAAUUAGGAGACCUAAAACAUUUUUAGCUUACCAUGGCUACUCUAAUCAGUCAUAAGGGUUACUGCCUACUUUUAUUUUUUAUGUCCAGAAACAGAUUGCUUUAGCUUAGGCAUUGAAAUAAUUAGUGAAGUUGUUACGCGCAUAAUACUGACAGCCUAUGGUUUGAAUGUAUUAGUGCCCAUCGACGGUCCAGGUAACCCACCAACCGACAAGGCAAAAUCAGUUCCAACACAUGAAUUUUGCACCAAGUCUUACUUGUUUUUGUAGUAUCCAGGUUGAUUGGAAUAAAUUGAUUGCAGCCAACUAACAUAAAGAGGGUUCAGUUCUUCAUUGGGGGUAAAUCCCUUCUUCAAAAUUGCCUAUUGUGUGGUGUAACUGCUGUUGGAUUAAUUACGCCCAUGGCAAGGGUAUGCCUGACAUAUUUUAACUGGAAAUUGCUACUGUGUAGUGGGAACAAAUGAGCUUUAAUCAAAUUAAAUUAUUCUCUUGCAAUUUUGAUGAGAACAAAUAAGCAGCCAUCAGAGGGAGCCUUCUAGUAAAACAUAUCUACUUCCAAGCUGCACACCAUUUUUUCAGACUAUAGACCGUGUUUUCAUUGCACUCACGUAUUUUAUACUUUCUGGUGUGCAUUGCAAUCCCGCCCCUUCGUAUAGCUAGCUGGUAUUGAUGUAAUCUGUGUUGAUAAUAACGUUCCAGUUUUUUGCUUAUUGGUUGACUCUUGGCAGUUUCUUUUUUCUUUUUUGCAGAAAUGGAUGGUUCUUCCAGCUUCAUGACAUCCAGUAUCUACAUAUGUGCCCAAGGUUGGAAAAAACGCAAGCCAAGCAGGCUGUUGGCCUUUGCGACAGUUUUUAUUAUCAGAGUGUAUGUAUGGUUAUUCUGUGUGUAUUGAUAUUAAUUUAGGGCAUAUAAUUAAGUGAACUAUCAUCUACUACCAUUUGACAUAUCAAUGCAAUAUGUCAUGCUUGAUCGUGUAGGCAAUUUCUUAUUUGCCCUGCCUAGACUUUCACUCAAGGCGAGGCGUUCAGCCAUUACUUAGCACCUAAGCGUGCCUAAGUGGCUUGUAAGCACUGUUUUUUCCAACAAUGUAUGCGCCUGGCUUGUAAGCACUGUUUUUUCCAACAAUGUAUGCGCCUAUUUUUUCUAUCGUAGACCUGAGACAACCGUUUCCACCAAGAUCCAGCAAGAAGUGGAAUGAAUGGGCUGUGACCAAUAUCGAAACCUACUCGUAAAAAUCUAAAGAACACGAUCAAUAAAUCAGUUUAUACUGACACCGACGAUAAAAAUGAAGAACACGAUAAUCAGAUUAUAC
rnacentral:lncRNA from 1 species